rnacentral:rRNA from 1 species
UACGGAGGGUGCGAGCGUUGUCCGGAAUCACUGGGCGUAAAGGGCGCGUAGGUGGCGCGAGUAGUCAACGGUGAAAGCCCGGGGCUCAACCCCGGGUCGGCCGUCGAUACUCUCGUGCUUGAGCACUGUAGAGGCAGGUGGAAUUCCGGGUGUAGCGGUGGAAUGCGUAGAGAUCGGGAGGAACAUCCGUGGCGAAGGCGGCCAUCUGGAUCAACACUGACGCUGAGGCACGAAAGCGUGGGGAGCAAACAGG